AUACGUAGGGGGCGAGCGUUGUCCGGAAUGAUUGGGCGUAAAGGGCGCGUAGGCGGCGCGGUAAGUCUGGAGUGAAAGUCCUGCUUUCAAGGUGGGAAUUGCUUUGGAUACUGCCGCGCUUGAGUGCAGGAGAGGUUAUCGGAAUUCCCGGUGUAGCGGUGAAAUGCGUAGAGAUCGGGAGGUACACCAGUGGCGAAGGCGGGUAACUGGACUGCAACUGACGCUGAGGCGCGAAAGUGUGGGGAGCAAACAGGAUUAGAUACCCUGGUAGUCCACGCGGUAAACGAUGAAUGCUAGGUGUUGCGGGUAUCGACCCCUGCAGUGCCGGAGUAAACACAAUAAGCAUUCCGCCUGGGGAGUACGGCCGCAAGGUUGAAACUCAAAUGAAUUGGCGGGG
rnacentral:rRNA from 1 species